UUGGCGAUGGAGUGACGGAGAAGGCUCAGGCAACCAGCUGCUGGAAUAGCUGGGGCAAGCGAGAUACCUGCGCACCAGGGAAAUCCGGUGCGCGCAAGGGGAAGGCGCGAAGCAUACGGAAAGCUGCGGCAAGUACGGAAAAGCUGAGAGCAGGCUUCCAGGAAAAGCUUCUAGCACAACACGCAUCGGCCCGUACCGAAAAUGGACACACAUGGGCAAGGAGAGAAUCCUGAGGUGAGCGAGAGAACUAUAGCUAAGGAACUCUGCAAAAUGACCCCGUAACUUAGGGAGAAGGGGUGCUCCAGAAAUGGAGCCGCAGUAAAACGGCCCAAGCGACUGUUUACCAAAAACACAGCUCUCUGCGAAGGCGCAAGCCGAAGUAUAGGGGGUGACGCCUGCCCGGUGCUGGAGGGUCAAGGGGAGCUGUCAGCGCAAGCGAAGCAGCGAGCCGAAGCCCCAGUAAACGGCGGCCGUAACAAUAACGGUCCUAAGGUAGCGAAAUUCCUUGUCGGGCAAGUUCCGACCCGCACGAAAGGCGUAACGAUUUGGGCGCUGUCUCAGCUGUAGACUCGGUGAAGUCUUAGUACCUGUGAAGAUGCAGGUUGCCCGCGACUAGACGGAAAGACCCCAUGGAGCUUCACUGCGGGUUGACAUUGGGCUUGGAUGCAUGAUGUACAGGAUAGGUGGGAGGCUGUGAGCCGUGCGCGCCAGCGUACGGGGAGCCGCUGUUGGGAUACCACCCUUCAUGCAUCUAGGUCCUAACCGGAGGCAACGGGCCACGGGACAGUGUCAGUCGGGCAGUUUGACUGGGGCGGUCGCCUCCCAAAGAGUAACGGAGGCGCCCAAAGAUACCCUCAGCAUGGAUGGAAACCAUGCAUAGAGUGCAAAGGCAUAAGGGUGUCUGACUGCGAGACACACAGGUCGAGCAGGGACGAAAGUCGGGCUUAGUGAUCCGGCGGAUCCGAAUGGAAGGGCCGUCGCUCAACGGAUAAAAGCUACCCUGGGGAUAACAGGCUGAUCUCCCCCAAGAGUUCACAUCGACGGGGAGGUUUGGCACCUCGAUGUCGGCUCAUCGCAUCCUGGAGCUGAAGUCGGUUCCAAGGGUUGGGCUGUUCGCCCAUUAAAGCGGUACGCGAGCUGGGUUCAGAACGUCGUGAGACAGUUCGGUCCCUAUCUGUCGUGGGCGCAGGAGGUUUGAGGAGAGCUGCCCCUAGUACGAGAGGACCGGGGUGGACGGACCGAUGGUGCACCAGUUGUCACGCCAGUGGCACAGCUGGGCAGCCAAGUCCGGACGGGAUAAGCGCUGAAGGCAUCUAAGCGUGAAGCCCCCUCCAAGAUGAGACCUCCCAUUGGCGACAAGUAAGGCCCCUCGAAGACGACGAGGUUGAUAGGCCGCGAGUGCAAGCGCAGCGAUGUGCUUAGCGGGGCGGUACUAAUAGGCCGAGGACUUGGCC
rnacentral:rRNA from 1 species